rfam:Candidatus Liberibacter americanus str. Sao Paulo, complete genome.
GGGGCCGUAGCUCAGCUGGUAGAGCGCCUGCUUUGCAAGCAGGAUGUCAGCGGUUCGAUUCCGCUCGGCUCCA